CCUACGGGAGACAGCAGUGGGGGAUAUUGCACAAUGGGGGGAACCCUGAUGCAGCGACGCCGCGUGGGUGAAGAAGCGCCUCGGCGCGUAAAGCCCUGUCAGCAGGGAAGAAAAUGACGGUACCUGAAGAAGAAGCCCCGGCUAACUACGUGCCAGCAGCCGCGGUAAUACGUAGGGGGCAAGCGUUAUCCGGAUUUACUGGGUGGAAAGGGGGCGCAGACGGCGAUGCAAGCCAGGAGUGAAAGCCCGGGGCCCAACCCCGGGACUGCUCGUGGAACUGCGUGGCUGGAGUGCAGGAGGGGCAGGCGGAAUUCCUGGUGUAGCGGUGAAAUGCGUAGAUAUCAGGAGGAACACCGGUGGCGAAGGCGGCCUGCUGGACUGCAACUGACGUUGAGGCCCGAAAGCGUGGGGAGCAAACAGGAUUAGAUACCCUUGUAGUC
rnacentral:rRNA from 1 species